GUGUCAGCCGCCGCGGUAAUACGAAGGGGGCUAGCGUUGUUCGGAAUUACUGGGCGUAAAGCGCACGUAGGCGGGUUAUUAAGUCAGGGGUGAAAUCCCGGAGCUCAACUCCGGAACUGCCUUUGAUACUGGUAAUCUAGAGAUCGGAAGAGGUUAGUGGAAUUCCCAGUGUAGAGGUGAAAUUCGUAGAUAUUGGGAAGAACACCAGUGGCGAAGGCGGCUAACUGGUCCGAUACUGACGCUGAGGUGCGAAAGCGUGGGGAGCAAACAGGAUUAGAAACCCCGGUAGUCC
rnacentral:rRNA from 1 species